rnacentral:misc_RNA from 1 species
CAACCCUCAGGCCCCCCUAGGGGGGACUGGCGUUGGGGGACGGCCCCUCCCGGCCGCCCCCGAAAUGCAGUGGCGACCCCGCCGCAGCCUCCCCUGCGUAGUAGCUGUUACAACAUGGAAACCUCGCACCGGAGAGCGGCGCUGCUCGGCCGUGAAACCCCAACUUUCUGAAA